UUCUGUCAAAGUAAUGCAGGCAAUAACAGCGGCCUUCCAGCCUGUUGUAGAGGGAUGCAGGUUACAAAUCUUGAUGCCAUGCCACAACAGACUAGUUGAGCCAUCCCUUAGCUCCAAUCAGACUUUGAGUGGAGGCCUUUUAAAAAAAUUGUUUCAUCAGAAGUCCAUAUAUGUCAGGCCUGACAAGGUCAUUUUAAGUGAGGAGAAAGAAUCUUCAUGUUCUGAUGGAGACAGUCACCAUGCAGGGAGC